rnacentral:rRNA from 3 species
GGUUAAGCGACUAAGCGUACACGGUGGAUGCCCUGGCAGUCAGAGGCGAUGAAGGGCGUGCUAAUCUGCGAUAAGCGCCGGUAAGGUGAUAUGAACCGUUAUAACCGGCGAUACCCGAAUGGGGAAACCCAGUGUGAUUCGUCACACUAUCAUUAACUGAAUCCAUAGGUUAAUGAGGCGAACCGGGGGAACUGAAACAUCUAAGUACCCCGAGGAAAAGAAAUCAACCGAGAUUCCCCCAGUAGCGGCGAGCGAACGGGGAGGAGCCCAGAGCCUGAAUCAGCAUGUGUGUUAGUGGAAGCGUCUGGAAAGGCGCGCGAUACAGGGUGACAGCCCCGUACACAAAAGCGCAUGUGCUGUGAGCUCGAUGAGUAGGGCGGGACACGUGGUAUCCUGUCUGAAUAUGGGGGGACCAUCCUCCAAGGCUAAAUACUCCUGACUGACCGAUAGUGAACCAGUACCGUGAGGGAAAGGCGAAAAGAACCCCGGCGAGGGGAGUGAAAAAGAACCUGAAACCGUGUACGUACAAGCAGUGGGAGCACCCUUCGGGGUGUGACUGCGUACCUUUUGUAUAAUGGGUCAGCGACUUAUAUUCUGUAGCAAGGUUAACCGUAUAGGGGAGCCGGAGGGAAACCGAGUCUUAAUUGGGCGUUAAGUUGCAGGGUAUAGACCCGAAACCCGGUGAUCUAGCCAUGGGCAGGUUGAAGGUUGGGUAACACUAACUGGAGGACCGAACCGACUAAUGUUGAAAAAUUAGCGGAUGACCUGUGGCUGGGGGUGAAAGGCCAAUCAAACCGGGAGAUAGCUGGUUCUCCCCGAAAGCUAUUUAGGUAGCGCCUCGUGAAUUCAUCUCCGGGGGUAGAGCACUGUUUCGGCUAGGGGGCCAUCCCGGCUUACCAACCCGAUGCAAACUGCGAAUACCGGAGAAUGUUAUCACGGGAGACACACGGCGGGUGCUAACGUCCGUCGUGAAGAGGGAAACAACCCAGACCGCCAGCUAAGGUCCCAAAGUCAUGGUUAAGUGGGAAACGAUGUGGGAAGGCCCAGACAGCCAGGAUGUUGGCUUAGAAGCAGCCAUCAUUUAAAGAAAGCGUAAUAGCUCACUGGUCGAGUCGGCCUGCGCGGAAGAUGUAACGGGGCUAAACCAUGCACCGAAGCUGCGGCAGCGAACGUAUCACCCAAGACAACUUUACGGAGUUGACGAUUGACGGAGCGAAGCGACGUCAAAGCGUUCAUUAAAGUCGAGUUGGCUUAGGGAUACGUUCGUUGGGUAGGGGAGCGUUCUGUAAGCCUGUGAAGGUGUGUCGUGAGGCAUGCUGGAGGUAUCAGAAGUGCGAAUGCUGACAUAAGUAACGAUAAAGCGGGUGAAAAGCCCGCUCGCCGGAAGACCAAGGGUUCCUGUCCAACGUUAAUCGGGGCAGGGUGAGUCGACCCCUAAGGCGAGGCCGAAAGGCGUAGUCGAUGGGAAACGGGUUAAUAUUCCCGUACUUGGUGUUACUGCGAAGGGGGGACGGAGAAGGCUAUGUUGGCCGGGCGACGGUUGUCCCGGUUUAAGCGUGUAGGUGUGUGUUCCAGGUAAAUCCGGUUCACUUUAACACUGAGGCGUGACGACGAGGCACUACGGUGCUGAAGCAACAAAUGCCCUGCUUCCAGGAAAAGCCUCUAAGCAUCAGGUAACACGAAAUCGUACCCCAAACCGACACAGGUGGUCAGGUAGAGAAUACCAAGGCGCUUGAGAGAACUCGGGUGAAGGAACUAGGCAAAAUGGUGCCGUAACUUCGGGAGAAGGCACGCUGACACGUAGGUGAAGUGAUUUACUCAUGGAGCUGAAGUCAGUCGAAGAUACCAGCUGGCUGCAACUGUUUAUUAAAAACACAGCACUGUGCAAACACGAAAGUGGACGUAUACGGUGUGACGCCUGCCCGGUGCCGGAAGGUUAAUUGAUGGGGUCAGCGCAAGCGAAGCUCCUGAUCGAAGCCCCGGUAAACGGCGGCCGUAACUAUAACGGUCCUAAGGUAGCGAAAUUCCUUGUCGGGUAAGUUCCGACCUGCACGAAUGGCGUAAUGAUGGCCAGGCUGUCUCCACCCGAGACUCAGUGAAAUUGAACUCGCUGUGAAGAUGCAGUGUACCCGCGGCAAGACGGAAAGACCCCGUGAACCUUUACUAUAGCUUGACACUGAACAUUGAGCCUUGAUGUGUAGGAUAGGUGGGAGGCUUUGAAGUGUGGACGCCAGUCUGCAUGGAGCCGACCUUGAAAUACCACCCUUUAAUGUUUGAUGUUCUAACGUGGACCCGUAAUCCGGGUUGCGGACAGUGUCUGGUGGGUAGUUUGACUGGGGCGGUCUCCUCCUAAAGAGUAACGGAGGAGCACGAAGGUUGGCUAAUCCUGGUCGGACAUCAGGAGGUUAGUGCAAUGGCAUAAGCCAGCUUGACUGCGAGCGUGACGGCGCGAGCAGGUGCGAAAGCAGGUCAUAGUGAUCCGGUGGUUCUGAAUGGAAGGGCCAUCGCUCAACGGAUAAAAGGUACUCCGGGGAUAACAGGCUGAUACCGCCCAAGAGUUCAUAUCGACGGCGGUGUUUGGCACCUCGAUGUCGGCUCAUCACAUCCUGGGGCUGAAGUAGGUCCCAAGGGUAUGGCUGUUCGCCAUUUAAAGUGGUACGCGAGCUGGGUUUAGAACGUCGUGAGACAGUUCGGUCCCUAUCUGCCGUGGGCGCUGGAGAACUGAGGGGGGCUGCUCCUAGUACGAGAGGACCGGAGUGGACGCAUCACUGGUGUUCGGGUUGUCAUGCCAAUGGCACUGCCCGGUAGCUAAAUGCGGAAGAGAUAAGUGCUGAAAGCAUCUAAGCACGAAACUUGCCCCGAGAUGAGUUCUCCCUGAGACUUAGAGUCUCCUGAAGGAACGUUGAAGACGACGACGUUGAUAGGCCGGGUGUGUAAGCGCAGCGAUGCGUUGAGCUAACCGGUACUAAUGAACCGUGAGGCUUAACCUU